AACGAACGCUGGCGGCAGGCUUAACACGUGCAAGUCGAACGGGCGUAGCAAUACGUCAGUGGCAGACGGGUGAGUAACACGUGGGAACCUUCCUAGGGGUACGGAACAACUCAGGGAAACUUGAGCUAAUACCGUAUACGUCCGUGAGGAGAAAGAUUUCAUCGCCCCUAGACGGGCCCGCGUCGGAUUAGGUAGUUGGUGGGGUAACGGCCUACCAAGCCUACGAUCCGUAGCUGAUCUGAGAGGAUGAUCAGCCACACUGGGACUGAGACACGGCCCAGACUCCGUACGGGAGGCAGCAGUGGGGAAUCUUGGACAAUGGGCGCAAGCCUGAUCCAGCCAUGCCGCGUGAGUGAUGAAGGCCUUA
rnacentral:rRNA from 1 species